rnacentral:rRNA from 1 species
GACGAACCGUGCGAACGUUGUUCGGAAUCACUGGGCUUAAAGGGCGCGUAGGCGGGCUCGCCAGUCAGGGGUGAAAUCCUCCAGCUCAACUGGAGCAGUGCCUUUGAUACUGCGAGUCUCGAGGGAGGUAGGGGCGUGCGGAACUUCCGGUGGAGCGGUGAAAUGCGUAGAUAUCGGAAGGAACACCGGUGGCGAAAGCGGCGCGCUGGACCUCUUCUGACGCUGAGGCGCGAAAGCCAGGGGAGCAAGCGGG